CCUACGGGAGGCAGCAGCAAGGAAUCGUGCACAAUGGGCGCAAGCCUGAUGCCGCGACGCCGCGUGAGGGAUGACGGCUUUCGAGUUGUAAACCUCUUUUCUCAGGGAAGAGCAAGGACGUUACCUGAGGAAUAAGCCACGGCUAACUACGUGCCAGCAGCCGCGGUAACACGUAGGUGGCGAGCGUUGUCCGGAAUUACUGGGCGUAAAGGGUCCGUAGGCGGUCCAGAAAGUCUUCUGUGAAAUUUCCAGGCUCAACUUGGAGCAGUCGGAGGAUACUUUUGGACUAGAGACUGUCAGAGGCAGGUGGAAUUCCCGGUGUAGUGGUGAAAUACGUAGAUAUCGGGAGGAACACCAGUGGCGAAAGCGGCCUGCUGGGGCAGUUCCGACGCUGAGGGACUAAAGCGUGGGGAGCGAACCGGAUUAGAUACCCGGGUAGUCCACGCCCUAAACGAUGAAUGCUAGGUCUUCGGGGUGUUUAUUCCCUGUGGGCCGAAGGUAACCCGAUAAGCAUUCCGCCUGGGGAGUACGGCCGCAAGGCUAAAACUCAAAGGAAUUGACGG
rnacentral:rRNA from 1 species